UACGGAGGGUGCAAGCGUUACUCGGAAUUACUGGGCGUAAAGCGUGCGUAGGUGGUGAGUUAAGUCUGAUGUGAAAUCCCCGGGCUCAACCUGGGAAUGGCAUUGGAUACUGGCUCGCUGGAGUGCGGUAGAGGGUGGUGGAAUUCCCGGUGUAGCAGUGAAAUGCGUAGAGAUCGGGAGGAACAUCUGUGGCGAAGGCGGCUACCUGGACUGAUACUGACGCUGAGGCGCGAGAGCGUGGGGAGCAAACAGG
rnacentral:rRNA from 1 species